AACGAACGCUGGCGGCAGGCCUAACACAUGCAAGUCGAGCGGACCUUUCGGGGUCAGCGGCGGACGGGUGAGUAACGCGUGGGAAUAUGCCCUUCUCUACGGAAUAGUCCUGGGAAACUGGGGGUAAUACCGUAUACGCCCUUUGGGGGAAAGAUUCAUCGGGGAAGGAUUAGCCCGCGUUGGAUUAGGUAGUUGGUGGGGUAAUGGCCUACCAAGCCGACGAUCCAUAGCUGGUUUGAGAGGAUGAUCAGCCACACUGGGACUGAGACACGGCCCAGACUCCUACGGGAGGCAGCAGUGGGGAAUCUUAGACAAUGGGGGCAACCCUGAUCUAGCCAUGCCGCGUGAGUGAUGAAGGCCUUAGGGUUGUAAAGCUCUUUCAGCUGGGAAGAUAAUGACGGUACCAGCAGAAGAAGCCCCGGCUAACUCCGUG
rnacentral:rRNA from 1 species